rnacentral:rRNA from 1 species
AGGUGGUGCAUGGUUGUCGUCAGCUCGUGUCGUGAGAUGUUGGGUUAAGUCCCGCAACGAGCGCAACCCUCGCCUCUAGUUGCCAGCAUUCGGUUGGGCACUCUAGAGGGACUGCCGGCGACAAGUCGGAGGAAGGUGGGGAUGACGUCAAAUCAUCAUGCCCCUUAUGACCUUGGGCUACACACGUGCUACAAUGGGCGGCACAAAGGGCUGCGAACCCGCGAGGGGGAGCGAAUCCCAAAAAGCCGCUCUCAGUUCGGAUUGCAGGCUGCAACUCGCCUGCAUGAAGCCGGAAUCGCUAGUAAUCGCGGAUCAGCAUGCCGCGGUGAAUACGUUCACGGGCCUU